rnacentral:rRNA from 1 species
CGAGUGGCGGACGGGUGGGUAAUGUCUGGGAAACUGCCUGAUGGAGGGGGAUAACUACUGGAAACGGUAGCUAAUACCGCAUAACGUCGCAAGACCAAAGAGGGGGACCUUCGGGCCUCUUGCCAUCGGAUGUGCCCAGAUGGGAUUAGCUAGUAGGUGGGGUAACGGCUCACCUAGGCGACGAUCCCUAGCUGGUCUGAGAGGAUGACCAGCCACACUGGAACUGAGACACGGUCCAG